AACUUUUAGCAAUGGAUCUCUUGGCUCUGGCAUCGAUGAAGAACGCAGCGAAAUGCGAUAAGUAAUGUGAAUUGCAGAAUUUAGUGAAUCAUCGAAUCUUUGAACGCACAUUGCGCCCUGUGGUAUUCCGCAGGGCAUGCCUGUUCGAGCGUCAGUACAACACUCAAGCUCAGCUUGGUCUUGAGCCCAGCCGGUCACGGCGGGCUUUAAAACUAGUGGCGGCGCCCCCUGGCUCUUAGCGUAGUAAUACCCCUCGCUACUGGGUCCCGGUGGACGCUGGCCAGCAACCCCCAACUCUCUAAGUUCGACCUCGGAUUAGGUAGGGAUACCCGCUGAACUUAAGCAUAUCAAUAAGCGGAGGCU
rnacentral:misc_RNA from 1 species